rnacentral:misc_RNA from 1 species
AAGUCGUAACAAGGUCUCCGUAGGUGAACCUGCGGAGGGAUCAUUACCGAGUUAGGGUCCUUUUGGGCCCGACCUCCCAACCCUUUGUUUACUUGACCCACGUUGCUUCGGCGAGCCCGUCCCUUCCCGGGACCGCUGGAGGGCCUCUUUUGGCCUUCUGGUCCGCGCUCGUCGAUGGCCAACCUUAUUAAACUCUUAAUUAAACGUGUCUUAUCUGAGUACCAAUUUUUAAUUAAAGCAAAACUUUCAACAACGGAUCUCUUGGUUCUG